UACGUAGGGUGCGAGCGUUGUCCGGAAUUAUUGGGCGUAAAGAGCUCAUAGGCGGUUUGUCACGUCUGCUGUGAAAUCCCGAGGCUCAACCUCGGGCCUGCAGUGGGUACGGGCAGACUGGAGUGCGGUAGGGGAGAAUGGAAUUCCUGGUGUAGCGGUGGAAUGCGCAGAUAUCAGGAGGAACACCGAUGGCGAAGGCAGUUCUCUGGGCCGUAACUGACGCUGAGGAGCGAAAGCGUGGGGAGCGAACAGG
rnacentral:rRNA from 1 species